rnacentral:rRNA from 1 species
UGAGGAAUAUUGGUCAAUGGGCGCAAGCCUGAACCAGCCAUCCCGCGUGAAGGAUGAAGGCCCUAUGUGUCGUAAACUUCUUUUAUACACCAAGAAAAAGCAGGACGUGUCCUGCCCCGACGGUAGUUUAUGAAUAAGCAUCGGCUAACUCCGUGCCAGCAGCCGCGGUAAUACGGAGGAUGCGAGCGUUAUCCGGAUUCAUUGGGUUUAAAGGGUGCGUAGGCGGCUUUGUAAGUCAGUGGUGAAAUCUUGCCGCUUAACGGUAAAAUUGCCAUUGAUACCGAUAAGCUUGAGUACAAGUGAGGUAAGCGGAAUGUGUAGUGUAGCAGUGAAAUGCGUAGAUAUGCGGAGGAACACCGAUGGCGAAGGCAAUCCCCUGGACCUGUACUGACGCUCAUGCACGAAAGCGUGGGGAGCAAACA